AGAGUGAUCGCUGGCGGCGUGCUUAACACAUGCAAGUCGAGCGGAUUUUGGCAGUGUAUCGCCAGAAUUAGCGGCAGACGGGUGAGUAAUACUUGGGCAAUCUGCCCUUGAGUGGGAAACAACCGGCCGAAGGGCUGGCUAAUGUCCCAUAAGACCACAGGAAUGCAUAUUCCAGGGGUCAAAGCUCCGCAAGGGGCGCUUGAGGAGGAGCCCGAGUCCUAUCAUGGUAGUUGGUGAGGUAACGGCUCACCAAGCCUUUGACGGGUAGCCGGCCUGAAAGGGUGAUCGGCCACACUGGCACUGAGACACGGGCCAGACUCCUACGGGAGGCAGCAGUGGGGAAUUUUGGACAAGUGGGGGCAACCCUGAUCCAGCGACGCCGCGUGAAGGAUGAAGGUCUUCGGAUUGUAAACUUCUUUUGGAGGGAUGAAUGCCUUGGUGAAGAGACCGAAGGUUGACAGUACUCUUACGAAUAAGCCAACGGCUAAACUACGUGCCAGCACG
rnacentral:rRNA from 1 species